rnacentral:rRNA from 14 species
AAAGGAUGUGGAGUUGCGUAGACAACCAGGAGGUUGGCUUGGAAGCAGCCAUCCUUGAAAGAGUGCGUAAUAGCUCACUGGUCAAGUGGUCCUGCGCCGACAAUGUAGCGGGGCUCAAGUACACCGCCGAAGCCGCGGCAAGCAACAAUUUUUUGUUGUUUGGGUAGGGGAGCGUCGUGCAUGGGUUGAAGCGUUACCGUAAGGAGGCGUGGACUGUGUGCGAGUGAGAAUGCAGGCAUGAGUAACGAAUUGUAAGGUGAGAAUCCUUACCGCCGGAUGACUAAGGGUUCCUGGGUCAAGUUCGUCUUCCCAGGGUGAGUCGGGACCUAAGGCGAGGCCGACAGGCGUAGUCGAUGGACAACGGGUUGAUAUUCCCGUACCGGCGAA